rnacentral:rRNA from 1 species
UACGGAGGAUGCGAGCGUUAUCCGGAUUUAUUGGGUUUAAAGGGUGCGUAGGCGGGAUGCCAAGUCAGCGGUAAAAAUGCGGUGCUCAACGCCGUCGAGCCGUUGAAACUGGCGUUCUUGAGUGGGCGAGAAGUAUGCGGAAUGCGUGGUGUAGCGGUGAAAUGCAUAGAUAUCACGCAGAACUCCGAUUGCGAAGACAGCAUACCGGCGCCCUACUGACGCUGAGGCACGAAAGCGUGGGUAUCGAACAGG